UUUACAAUUAACGUAAAGAUUUUAUAAUACGUAGUUGUUGGUCACUCGUAUAAAUUUCAGAUUUGAUAUUUCUUAAGAGUUAUUUAGUAUUAUUUAGAGCUUAUUGUGGAGUCUGAACGAACACUGUACAAGUGUGUAACGGCACCUUUUCUUUUUUUAAAUAUUGUGAAUUGUGUGGUGAAAUUUCUCAACUAGGUGCAGCAGAAACAAUUGGUACCAAGGGAAUUCUAUUGUAUACCCUUCAAGGAGAACCAUUGGAAUCUGUUUAUGAUACCCACUGCUACUUAUUAUUAUUAUCAUCAACGUUCGACGAAUGUCCAGAUACCAACAGCCUACGGAACUGGAAUUACCAUUUGGAAAGGAGGCUUCCAGUCGAACUUUCCAGCCGAGUGCUUGAAUCACAGUAGUAGAAGCGGUAACAAAUCUCUUGAAUGGAAAAACAACCAUUGCGACUUCUUGAAAAUGGACAACAGCUGGAAACCAUCAAAUUAACUGGCCCGUUGACAACAUUGUGGAAACCUUUACAAUCAAUGAACAAAAAAUGUACCAUUCCAUUUCUGGAGGAAACUUUAUAUGUCACGUCAGAUGAAGAAUCCAGGAUGCAACUAAGAAGUACGAGUAGCCCACAGUAUAUCUUUGGCCUCAAGCGGAACAUUCCUCUCCUAAACAUGUUCUGUAAAAAUUUCAAAGGCAUCAUUGCAUUGCAAGAAACGCUCCUCUGGCCACAUGACCUUGCCAUAUGCGAUUCAAUUCAUGAAGACUUCAGAACCUUCUCGACUUCAUCGAUGCAAGUUACAGACCAAAUCCUAGCCGGUCGCCCGAAAGGAGGCCUUUCUUUCCUGUGGCACAAAUCGUUAGACAAUACGAUAAAGGUGAUGACCUACAGGAGUGACAGAUUGCUGGGGAUUCAAGUGACAAUAGGGAACUCUAAAAUCCUAAUUAUCAAUGUUUAUAUGCCAUGGGAAAAUAACAAUAAUUUUGAUCAUUACUGCAUGAUCCUAGGGGAGUUACACAGUAUUAUUCAUGAUUCUCCAGCUGAUCAUAUUUGUAUAAUAGGGGACCUUAAUUCACA